rnacentral:snRNA from 1 species
GUUACUUCUCAGACUUUUGGCUAAGACUAAGUAUAGUUUUUGUCCUUAUCCGUUUAAUACAUUGAAAAAUCCUCCAUGGACAGAAUAUCAAGUGCAUUUUUGGAACAAGGAGAUGGAGCUGGAGUCUGUUGCAUCACCUCAGCAUCAAUCUGAUAUGUCAGUAGUUCUAAGAAGGGUACACCAAGA